rnacentral:rRNA from 1 species
AUUGAACGCUGGCGGCAUGCCUUACACAUGCAAGUCGAACGGUAACAGGUCUUCGGAUGCUGACGAGUGGCGAACGGGUGAGUAAUACAUCGGAACGUGCCUAGUAGUGGGGGAUAACUACUCGAAAGAGUGGCUAAUACCGCAUGAGAUCUACGGAUGAAAGCAGGGGAUCGCAAGACCUUGUGCUACUAGAGCGGCCGAUGGCAGAUUAGGUAGUUGGUGGGAUAAAAGCUUACCAAGCCGACGAUCUGUAGCUGGUCUGAGAGGACGAUCAGCCACACUGGGACUGAGACACGGCCCAGACUCCUACGGGAGGCAGCAGUGGGGAAUUUUGGACAAUGGGCGAAAGCCUGAUCCAGCAAUGCCGCGUGCAGGAUGAAGGCCUUCGGGUUGUAAACUGCUUUUGUACGGAACGAAAAGCCCCGGGUUAAUACCCUGGGGUCAUGACGGUACCGUAAGAAUAAGCACCGGCUAACUACGUGCCAGCCGCCGCGGUAACAC